rnacentral:rRNA from 1 species
CCCCUGAAGGGCCGUUCAAGACUAGGACGUUGAUAGGUUGGGUGUGGAAGCGCUGUGAGGCGUUGAGCUAACCAAUACUAAUUGCCCGUGAGGCUUGACUAUAUAAUGCAAG